CAUGCCCUCGGCCUGGGCAAGGCGUCCGAAAAUGGAUUAUUUUCUGUCGUUACCUACUGCAGAGGAAAAGUUUCUUUUCUUCCCCACAAAUGCUAGGGCCACCGUGACCUUCCUCAUCUUAAUUUGCUCCUUGAUCUUUUGGAUGUUAAGAAGAAUCUCAAGGACUGCAGGUAAGACAAAAGCACCGCCAGAAGCUGGAGGAGCAUGGCCCCUAAUUGGCCACCUUCACCUCCUAGGAGGGCCUCAACCCCCCG
rnacentral:misc_RNA from 1 species